rnacentral:rRNA from 1 species
GACGAACGCUGGCGGCGUGCUUAACACAUGCAAGUCGAACGGAAAGGCCCUGCUCUUGUGGGGUGCUCGAGUGGCGAACGGGUGAGUAACACGUGAGUAACCUGCACUUGACUUUGGGAUAACUUCAGGAAACUGGGGCUAAUACCGGAUAGGAGCUCCUGCUGCAUGGUGGGGGUUGGAAAGUUUCGGCGGUUGGGGAUGGACUCGCGGCUUAUCAGCUUGUUGGGGGGGUAGUGGCUUACCAAGGUUUUGACGGGUAGCCGGCGUGAGAGGGUGACCGGCCACCUUGGGCCUGCGAUACGGCCCAGAAUCCUACGGGAGGCAGCAGUGGGGAAUAUUGCACAAUGGGCGGAAGCCUGAUGCAGCAACGCCGCAUGCGGGAUGACGGCCUUCGGGUUGUAAACCGCUUUCGCCUGUGACGAAGCGUGAGUGACGGUAAUGGGUAAAGAAGCACCGGCUAACUACGUG